rnacentral:rRNA from 1 species
GACGAACGCUGGCGGCGUGCCUAACACAUGCAAGUCGAACGGAAAGGCCCUGCUUUUGUGGGGUUCUCGAGUGGCGAACGGGUGAGUAACACGUGAGUAACCUGCCCUUUACUUUGGGAUAACUUCAGGAAACUGGAGUUAAUACCGCACAGGAGCUCCUGCUGCAUGGUGGGGGUGGGAAAGUUUCGGCGUUUGGGGAUGGACUCGGGGCUCAUCAGCUUGUUGGUGGGGUAGUGGCUUACCAAGGCUUUGACGGGUAGCCGGCCUGAGAGGGUGACCGGCCACAUUGGGACUGAGGUACGGGCCAGACUGCUACGGGAGGCAGCAGUGGGGAAUAUUGCACAAUGGGCCGAAGCCUGAUGCAGCGACGCCGCGUGCGGGAUGACGGCCUUCGGGUUGUAAACCGCUUUCGCCUGUGACGAAGCGUGAGUGACGGUAAUGGGUAAAGAAGCACCGGCUAACUACGUG